GCCCGCCAGUCCGGGGCACGCGGCGAGGGACCCCGCUCUAGAGGCGCCACCAAAGUGGGCAGCAACUGCCCCGCCCUCAACCGCAAGGCUCUACAGAGGAUGGUAUGGAUGGCCCAGUACAUCCCGGGGGCAAGCUCCCAGCCAUUGAGGACAUCUAUACCAGGCGGUGUCUGACAUCUAUACCCAUCCACGCUACAAUCCACAUCGACGGGGCUGCAGUGGAGCAGGCAGACAGCUUCAAGUUCCUCGGUGUCCAAAUCACUAAAGACUUCAAAUGGUCCAAACACACGCGCACAGUCGUGAAGAAGGUGCGACAGCGCCUCUUCCCCUCAAGAAGUUGAAAAAGUUUGGCAUGGGCCCUCAAAUCCUCUAAAAGUUCUACAGCUGUACCGUUGAGAGCAUUUUGACUGGCUACAAUAGCACCGCCCUCCAUCGCAUUGAAUGGUACUAGGAUUGGCCUUGUAUAUAGUGUACAUUCUCAUGUGUAUUUAUUUUAUAUGAUUUAGCAUAAUUGCAUUGUUGAGGAAGAGUAAGCAUUUCACUAUGCUGUUUACAUCUGCUGUAUCAUGUGCACGUGACAAAUAAACUUUGAUUUGAGAGAGA